AUUGAACGCUGGCGGUAGGCCUAACACAUGCAAGUCGAGCGAGCGGCGGACGGGUGCGUAAUGUAUGGGGACUGCCCGCUAGAGGGGGAUAACUACUGGAAACGGUAGCUAAUACCGCAUACUAUCGGAUAACCCAUAUGGGUUUGGCUAGUUGGUGGGGUAAAGGCUCACCAAGGCAACGAUACGUAGCUGGUUUGAGAGGACGACAAGCCACACUGGGAAUGAGACACGGCCCAGAAUCCUACGGAGGCAGCAGGGGGGAAUUUUGGACAAUGGGGGAAACCCUGAUCCAGCAAUCCCGCUUGUAUGAUGAAGGCCUUCGGGUUGUAAAGUACUUUUGGCAGAGAAGCGGUAUCUGCAGAAUAAACACCGGCUAACUACGUGCCAGCAGCCGCGGUAAUAC
rnacentral:rRNA from 1 species